UCACGGAUCCAGACUUUGAUCAUGGCUCAGGAUGAACGCUAGCGGCAGGCUUAACACAUGCAAGUCGAGGGGCAGCGCGAGUAGCAAUACUUGGCGGCGACCGGCGCAAGGGUGCGUAACGCGUGAGAACAUGCCCGUAUCAGGGGGAUAAUCCAGGGAAACUUGGUCUAAUACCCCAUAGUAAUUUCGUAAGGCAUCUUAUGGGAUUKAGAGCUUUGGUGGAUACGGAUUGGCUCGCGUGACAUUAGCUGGAUGGUAAGGUAACGGCUUACCAUGGCUAUGAUGUCUAGGGGUUCUGAGAGGAAGGUCCCCCACACUGGAACUGAGACACGGUCCAGACUCCUACGGGAGGCAGCAGUGAGGAAUAUUGGACAAUGGAUGGAUAUCUGAUCCAGCCAUGCCGCGUGAAGGAAGAAUGUCCUAUGGAUUGUAACUUCUUUUGUAUGGGAGCAAUAAGGUCUUCGUGAAGACUGAUGAGAGUACCCAUACGAAUAAGCAUCGGCUAACUCCGUGCCAGCAGCCGCGGUAAUACGGAGGAUGCGAGCGUUAUCCGGAUUUAUUGGGUUUAAAGGGUGCGUAGCUGUUAUAUAAGUCAGUGGUGAAUAUUCGGGCUCAACCGGGAUACUGCCAUUGAUACUGUAUAGCUGGAAUAUGGUUGCUGUGGUUGAAUGCUGGUUGGUUUAACCGGUGAAAUGCAUAGAUACCACACAGUAUAUUCGAUUGCCAGGCACUCACAA
rnacentral:rRNA from 1 species